rnacentral:lncRNA from 1 species
AUAAAUAGAAUAAUUUUAGAAUCUAAUUUAAAUUUUAUAUUUUUGUUAUUAAAAAGAAAAUAGCAUAUGAUAAUAGUUCACAUUGGAAGGAUUAUACUAAUAUCGCCCUAACGUUCUUUUUCGAAAAUAACGCUCGAUGAAACCACAUGGUUUCAUAGAGAAAACAUAGUUUAAACCUAGGGAUGAUGGAACGACGACGAAGAAGAGGAUUCUCUUCAUUAACACAUACUUCAUCAGUGGCUGUUAAUGAAUCACGUGUUCAUAUAUCAGCUUUGAAUGACUCUCGCUCUGUGUUUUUCCUAGCCUGUUAAUUUAUAUCUCGAGAAAACUCCUCGCGGAGACCAUUUUCGGUGUCCAAAUAAAAAGGAGCCAUGGUUCUGAGAUCAACCCCUUUGACUUGCAUAGUAGGUUAUCCUACUUUGGCCAGGGGAAACCAUUUUUUAUGUAAUGCUUUUAGAAUCCAUGUUAUUCCUUUUUUUUCAUAACUAAAAGCGGCUUCUUUGAUGGGAUUGAUUUUUUCUUUUAAUCUUUAAAUUAGAUCGUAACCAUUCUAGGAAUGGAGUUUCCAUUUUGGAUAUUGCAUAAAACACCAUAACAUUCAACCAAUAGAAAGAGAAGAUAACCCACCCUUUCCGUUUCAAUGAGGAAACCGACAUCAGAGUUGCCCUUUUCCACUUUCUUUUCAUUAAACCGACGACAUGCAGUCGCAGAGGGGCGGCGCUUUCGAAUGGCAGCAUCAAGGCGCAGACGCCUUCGGUUUCACACCGUGCUUCCGGUUUCAACUAGAUCAAUCAUUUUCCCUAUCAGAAAUCUUUCCACUGUUCUGAAAUAAACGGCAGACCGCGAAGGAGCUUCCAUUUGCUUUUGCAAAUGUGUUUACACGGCACUAUAUACUUCACCGGAAUAAUUCCUGGUGUCUUUUUGCUCUGUACGAAAACGAACGAGUUUUACUUGGCGCCUGUACCGCACCGGUAUUGUGAGAUCCGUGAUUCCGUGGCAUCGCCUGAGUAAAUUCCAUCCAUUGGUGGGGGCGGCGGCCCUUACAAUUUACUGUUUCCACGUUCCGAUCUAUUUUAAUUAUUUCUUCGCGGUUUG